rnacentral:rRNA from 1 species
GGGUCAGGAGGUUGGUCGUGCCACCGGUACGUACUGGUCUCACUGAUUCCUCCUUCCUGAAGAACCGUAAUGCCAUUAAUUUGGUGUUGCGGGGAAACAGGACUGUUACUUUGAAAAAAUUAGAGUGUUUAAAGCAAGCUAACGCUUGAAUACAUCAGCAUGGAAUAAUGAAAUAGGACGAUCGAUCCUAUUUUGCUGGUUUCUAGGAUUGACGUA